GACGAACGCUGGCGGCGUGCUUAACACAUGCAAGUCGAACGGAAAGGCCCUGCUUGCAGGGUACUCGAGUGGCGAACGGGUGAGUAACACGUGGGUGAUCUGCCCUGCACUUCGGGAUAAGCUUGGGAAACUGGGUCUAAUACCGGAUAGGAGCCAUCUUUAAAGCAGGGGAUCUUCGGACCUUGCGCUAUUGGAUGAGCCUAAGUCAGAUUAGCUUGUUGGUGGGGUAAUGGCCUACCAAGGCGACGAUCUGUAGCUGGUCUGAGAGGAUGAUCAGCCACACUGGGACUGAGACACAGCCCAGACUCCUACGGGAGGCAGCAGUGGGGAAUAUUGGACAAUGGGCGAAAGCCUGAUCCAGCAAUGCCGCGUGUGUGAAGAAGGCCCGCGGGUUGUAAAGCACUUUCAGUAGCGAGGAAAAGCUUAAGGUUAAUAACCUUGAGUCUUGACGUUAACUACAGAAGAAGCACCGGCUAACUCUGUGCCAGCAGCCGCGGUAAUACAGAGGGUGCAAGCGUUAAUCGGAAUUACUGGGCGUAAAGCGCGCGUAGGUUGUUUGUUAAGUCGGAGUGAAAGUCCUGGGUUUAACCUGGGAACUGCAUACCAAACUGCGCAACUAGAGUAUGAUAGAGGGGGGUAGAAUUUCAGGUGUAGCGGUGAAAUGCGUAGAGAUCUGAAGGAAUAUUGGUGGCGAAGGCGGCCCCCUGGAUUGAUACUGACACUGAGGUGCGAAAGCGUGGGUAGUAAACAGGAUUAGAUACCCUGGUAGUCCACGCUGUAAAUGAUGUCUACUAGCUGUUGGAGGAUUUGAUCCUUUAGUGGCGCAGUUAAUGUAAUAAGUAGACCGCCUGGGGAGUACGGCCGCAAGGCUAAAACUCAAAUGAAUUGACGGGGGCCCGUACAAGUGGUGGAGCAUGUGGUUUAAUUCGACGCAAUGCGAAGAACCUUACCUACUCUUGACAUCCUCGGAACUUAGCAGAGAUGCUUAGGUGCCUUCGGGAACCGAGUGACAGGUGCUGCAUGGCUGUCGUCAGCUCGUGUCGUGAGAUGUUGGGUUAAUUCCCGUAACGAGCGCAACCCUUGUCCCUAGCUGCCAGCGAUUCGUUCGGGAACUCUAGGGAGACUGCCGGUGACAAACCGGAGGAAGGUGGGGAUGACGUCAAGUCAUCAUGGCCCUUACGGGUAGGGCUACACACGUGCUACAAUGGCCGGUACAGAGAGUCGCGAACCUGCAAAGGGAAGCCAAUCUCACAAAGCCGGUCGUAGUCCGGAUUGGAGUCUGCAACUCGUCUCCAUGAAGUCGGAAUCGCUAGUAAUCGCAGAUCAGAAUGCUGCGGUGAAUACGUUCCCGGGCCU
rnacentral:rRNA from 1 species